UGCCAGACUCCUACGGGAGGCAGCAGUGGGGAAUAUUGCACAAUGGGGGAAACCCUGAUGCAGCGACGCCGCGUGAGCGAUGAAGUAUUUCGGUAUGUAAAGCUCUAUCAGCAGGGAAGAAGAUGACGGUACCUGACUAAGAAGCCCCGGCUAACUACGUGCCAGCAGCCGCGGUAAUACGUAGGGGGCAAGCGUUAUCCGGAUUUACUAGGUGUAAAGGGAGCGUAGACGGCGAUGCAAGCCAGAUGUGAAAGCCCGGGGCUCAACCCCGGGACUGCAUUUGGAACUGUGUGGCUGGAGUGUCGGAGAGGCAGGCGGAAUUCCUAGUGUAGCGGUGAAAUGCGUAGAUAUUAGGAGGAACACCAGUGGCGAAGGCGGCCUGCUGGACGAUGACUGACGUUGAGGCUCGAAAGCGUGGGGAGCAAACAGGAUUAGAUACCCCCGUAUG
rnacentral:rRNA from 1 species